GAUGAACGCUGGCGGCGUGCCUAACACAUGCAAGUCGAGCGAAGCGCUUAAAUUAGAUUUCUUCGGAAUGACGAUUUUUGUGACUGAGCGGCGGACGGGUGAGCAACGCGUGGGUAACCUGCCUCAUACAGGGGGAUAACAGUUAGAAAUGACUGCUAAUACCGCAUAAGACCCCAGCUUCGCAUGAAGCGGUGGUAAAAACUCCGGUGGUAUGAGAUGGACCCGCGUCUGAUUAGCUAGUUGGUAAGGUAACGGCUUACCAAGGCGACGAUCAGUAGCCGAGAUGUGAGAGUGGCCCGCGACACUGGGGCUGAGACACGGCCCAGAAUCCUACGGGAGGCAGGAGUGGGGAAUAGAGCACAAUGGGGGAAACGCUGAUGCAGCGACGCCGCGUGAAGGAUGAAGUAUUUCGGUAUGUAAACUUCUAUCAGCAGGGAAGAAAGUGACGGUACCUGACGAAGAAGCCCCGGCUAACUACGUG
rnacentral:rRNA from 1 species